rnacentral:rRNA from 1 species
GACGAACGCUGGCGGCGUGCUUAACACAUGCAAGUCGAACGGAAAGGCCCUGCUUUUGUGGGGUGCUCGAGUGGCGAACGGGUGAGUAACACGUGAGUAACCUGCCCUUUACUUUGGGAUAACUUCAGGAAACUGGGGCUAAUACCGGAUAGGAGCUCCUGCUGCAUUGGGGGGGUUGGAAAGUUUCGGCGGUUGGGGAUGGACUCGCGGCUUAUCAGCUUGUUGGUGGGGUAGUGGCUUACCAAGGCUUUGACGGGUAGCCGGCAUGAGAGGGUGACCGGCCACAUUGGGACUGCGAUACGGACCAGACUCCUACGGGAGGCAGCAGUGGGGAAUAUUGCACAAUGGGCGGAAGCCUGAUGCAGCAACGCCGCGUGCGGGAUGACGGCCUUCGGGUUGUAAACCGCUUUCGCCUGUGACGAAGCGUGAGUGACGGUAAUGGGUAAAGAAGCACCGGCUAACUACGUG